rnacentral:rRNA from 1 species
AUGCCCGGUGUGCUGGAGGCUCUUUCAGGGGCUGUUGCUACUAGGCUGGCUGCUCAAGAGACAACAAAUGGUAAUGUGGCGUUUACUUUUAAUGCUGGGAAAAAUUUGAUGCAGGGCAAGCAAAAGAGGAAGGGGAGCAAAGGAAAAAAUGUGGGAGUUUCUAAGAGAGCAGAGAACGCACGUAAGGUAACUAUAGGUAAAAAGAGGAGAAUCCCAUUGAUACGUCUUCAACGUAUCUAUAAUUUUUUAUUGUUCCAUGCUAUAUUAUAUUCUGUUUUUGGACAUUAUUGGGCUUUAUUAUACACUUUUAUAUUAUUUUUGGGACUAACCUAUUAA